CAUGCAGUCGAGCGCGGGAAGCGAGCUGAUCCCUUCGGGGUGACGCUCGUGGAACGAGCGGCGGACGGGUGAGUAACACGUGGGCAACCUGCCUGUAAGAUCGGGAUAACUCCGGGAAACCGGGGCUAAUACCGGGUAAUACUUUCUUUCGCAUGAAGGAAAGUUGAAAGAUGGCUUCUCGCUAUCACUUACAGAUGGGCCCGCGGCGCAUUAGCUAGUUGGUGAGGUAACGGCUCACCAAGGCGACGAUGCGUAGCCGACCUGAGAGGGUGAUCGGCCACACUGGGACUGAGACACGGCCCAGACUCCUACGGGAGGCAGCAGUAGGGAAUCUUCCGCAAUGGACGAAAGUCUGACGGAGCAACGCCGCGUGAACGAUGAAGGUCUUCGGAUCGUAAAGUUCUGUUGUUAGGGAAGAACAAGUACCGUGCGAAUAGAGCGGUACCUUGACGGUACCUAACGAGGAAGCCCCGGCUAACUACGUGCCAGCAGCCGCGGUAAUACGUAGGGGGCAAGCGUUGUCCGGAAUUAUUGGGCGUAAAGCGCGCGCAGGCGGUUCCUUAAGUCUGAUGUGAAAGCCCACGGCUCAACCGUGGAGGGUCAUUGGAAACUGGGGAACUUGAGGACAGAAGAGGAGAGUGGAAUUCCACGUGUAGCGGUGAAAUGCGUAGAUAUGUGGAGGAACACCAGUGGCGAAGGCGACUCUCUGGUCUGUUUCUGACGCUGAGGUGCGAAAGCGUGGGUAGCAAACAGGAUUAGAUACCCUGGUAGUCCACGCCGUAAACGAUGAGUGCUAGGUGUUAGGGGGCUUCCACCCCUUAGUGCUGAAGUUAACGCAUUAAGCACUCCGCCUGGGGAGUACGGCCGCAA
rnacentral:rRNA from 1 species